GGGCGCAUAGCUCAGCUGGUUAGAGCACCUGCCUUACAAGCAGGGGGUCAGGGGUUCGAGUCCCUUUGCGCCCA
rnacentral:tRNA from 1 species